UUAAAGAAUAGGAGGCAUAGAGUGGUGUUGUACGACUGUUUAAUUAAAACAAAGCACUUUGCAUAAGAUGACAAAUCAAAGUAUUGAGUGUGAUUUCUGCCCAAUGUUGGCUGGUUAACGGAUUUUCUUAGUUGACUAAAAUAAGCUAGGUUUUGAAGGAACCCCCAAUCAAUGGCGGCCUUACCGAUGAGGGUCCUAAGGUAGCGGAAUACCCUGGCCGUUAAAUGCGGUCUUGCAUGAAUGAUUUAACGAUACAACAGCUGUCUCAAUGAUUGGCUCAGUGAAAUUGGAAUAACUGUGCAGAUACAGUUUACCUCUAGUUAGACGAGAAGACCCUAUGCAGCUUUACUGUUUGUAGUUAUUGGAUAUGAUGGUUCAGGUUGUAGUGUAUAAGGUAGUUGAUAAGAUAUAAUUGAAACACCUUUGCUUAGUCUAUCAUAUAGGUAGAAAAGAUACAGGCUUAGUAGUCAAGUUUAGUACCUGUACAUAGAUACUCUAGCGGUGAAAAGCUUUUUAUCCUAGAUAUAGGGGAAAAUAAAGAUGAAAGGAACUGAUAGUCUACAAAACUUAUCCUGUAAAAG
rnacentral:ncRNA from 1 species